ACCUCUUGUUGUGCUCCAACCGCUCAUAGACCCCAGGUCACCAACAAAGGCCAACUCCUGGAGCAGAGUGUUUCCAUGUGGUUGCCUUUUGGAUGAAGGUCAAGAUGAGCAGAGACCACCAAGCACAUUUCAAGAAGGAUAUUAGAUUUCACUCGGACCAGGAGCUCAGAAAAUUUUAGGGAGUUGGAGAGUAUCAGAUCUCCCCAUCUACGUGAGAUAUCUCUUCCCUCCAGUCCAUUUUCUAUUUUACAUCGAGUGAUCUUUUAAAAUGGUUUGUUCGGCUUUUUUUGAGGAAGAUUAGCCCUGAGCUAACUGCGGCCAAUCCUCUUCUUUUCACUGAGGAAGACUGGCCCUGAGCUAACAUCCAUGCCCAUCUUCCUCUACUUUAUAUGUGGGACACCUACCACAGCAUGGCGUGCCAAGUGGUGCCCUGUCUGCACCUGGGAUCCGAACCAGCGAACCCCAGGCUGCCAAAGCAGAAUGUGCACGCUUAACUGCUGCACCACCAGGCCAGCCCCUUCAGGUUAAAUCUGUAUUUGGUGAGAAUCCUGAUGGAUGAAAACAUGACCACACAGUGAUUAUUACAGUGGACUAAGAAUGCAGAUUUAGUGCUUGGAGACGCAGGCAAAGAAGGCCAACUUUGCCAAGGCACCCACCAUCUCUGCUGCCAGUGCCCUCUUGAGGAAGGUCCCCACCGUGCCUAGCACCGAAUCCACUUGGGAGUCUCCUCUACCCAGCACCAGAGCUGCUCGGUGGGCUCUGGACGAGUGAGGGAAGGAAGGCGAGCCGCUCUGUUUCUGCUCGAGACUUCAGUGACCACAGCACUUCAGGGCUUGGGUCUACGCUUUCGGAUUUUAUGGUUUAUGGACAAAGCCUUAGGCUGGUGGGAGAGUAGAGAACUCGCAUCCUCUCUCUGCUAUCUUUCUUCCCCUUCUUUUUCCAAGUGCUCAUGCGAAAUAACACCCCUUCCUGUACUUGUAAGAUCCAAACUUAAGUUCCUUCCACAUCCCUUCCAUGCAUUUAGUCCCCCUCCCUUCACCUACACGACGCCUUGGUCAAUUCGUCAUGCUCGACAGGGCUUGGAUUUGAAAAAUACGAAUUUUAAUAAAAUAAUGUACAUCCUUCAAAAGGGAAUAUGUUGUCUUCAGCAUCCUUUAAUGAUCUGGUUGUAGCUGAAGGACGCCUAUCAGAUAUAAGCAGGGGAACUCAGAGAUAGUGCUGUCUGAAGUGACUGAUGUUUGGUGGCCCCCUCUGAAUCAGGAAGAACAGUCGUCCUGGAGUCGUAAACCCUGAGCAAUGAGCUUACACAGCUGUGCCCGAGGCUAUGAGGUCUUGACGCCACUCCCAGGUGCCAUCCCUCUCUGCCUGUGUCACCACGUACUGCGCCUGCUGAGUCUCCUGUUACUUUGCAC
rnacentral:lncRNA from 1 species